CCGCCAUUAAACAUCAUAAGAAGAACAAGAAGCUGCUGUGUUUGUACUGUAGAGCCUCAUCUAUCUUUUAAUAAUGCAGUCAGCAGAAGAGGGACACGUCACCCCCAUAGAUCUACAAAAUGAAGGAUUCCAAGAGAAACUAAUAAAAAAGGAGGAGGAAGAAGAUGGAAGUUACUUCUGUGAAGGAUCUUUAAUCCCUGUGGAACACGUCACCUCUGAGGAACACCUCACCCCAGAGGACCAACAGUGUGGAGGUUUCCAGAUGAAGCCUGUGAAGAAGGAAGAACCUGAAGAUAAAGAUG